rnacentral:lncRNA from 1 species
UGAAAUACAAAACGAAACGUGUAUGAUAAACUGAUAAACAAAAUAUCAAGAAAUUAAGGAUGACUAAAUGCAUGCACAAGAAGAAACUCACCUUUCUAUCGAUACAUUUGAAUGAUUUAAUGAAUAAACACUUUUUUAAAAACUGUUUGUGUCUAUUUACAUAGAUAUAGGAGGAUGUGGUGUGAAUGCCAAUGAGACAACUCCCCAUCCAAAUAACAAUUUAUAAAAGUAAACCAUGAUAGGUCAAUGUACGGCCUUCAACACGGAGCCACUGAACAACAAGCUAUAAAGGUCCCCAAAAUUACUAGUGUAAAACCAUCUAAACGGGAAAACCAACGGUCUAUAAAUAUUUACAAUAUAUAAUUUACGUUCGUUUUUCAACCGAGAAUAGCAAAACCUAAUGAAGUAUAUCGUUGGAGUUUAUAAACUACAUUUAAUCAUCCCCUGUGCCAUGAUUGGCC